rfam:Acyrthosiphon pisum strain LSR1 Contig22679, whole genome shotgun sequence.
UUCUGUUCCUAAGUACUAGUGCCGCGGGAGUGAUAUCCGUUUUUUGUAUCUCCUGCAGCUCAAGUGCUUAUCAACGGGA